GGGUUGUGAGGUUAAGCGACUAAGCGUACACGGUGGAUGCCCUGGCAGUCAGAGGCGAUGAAGGACGUGCUAAUCUGCGAUAAGCGUCGGUAAGGUGAUAUGAACCGUUAUAACCGGCGAUUUCCGAAUGGGGAAACCCAGUGUGUUUCGACACACUAUCAUUAACUGAAUCCAUAGGUUAAUGAGGCGAACCGGGGGAACUGAAACAUCUAAGUACCCCGAGGAAAAGAAAUCAACCGAGAUUCCCCCAGUAGCGGCGAGCGAACGGGGAGCAGCCCAGAGCCUGAAUCAGUGUGUGUGUUAGUGGAAGCGUCUGGAAAGGCGCGCGAUACAGGGUGACAGCCCCGUACACAAAAAUGCACAUACUGUGAGCUCGAUGAGUAGGGCGGGACACGUGGUAUCCUGUCUGAAUAUGGGGGGACCAUCCUCCAAGGCUAAAUACUCCUGACUGACCGAUAGUGAACCAGUACCGUGAGGGAAAGGCGAAAAGAACCCCGGCGAGGGGAGUGAAAAAGAACCUGAAACCGUGUACGUACAAGCAGUGGGAGCCUCUUAAUGGGGUGACUGCGUACCUUUUGUAUAAUGGGUCAGCGACUUAUAUUCUGUAGCAAGGUUAACCGAAUAGGGGAGCCGAAGGGAAACCGAGUCUUAACUGGGCGUUAAGUUGCAGGGUAUAGACCCGAAACCCGGUGAUCUAGCCAUGGGCAGGUUGAAGGUUGGGUAACACUAACUGGAGGACCGAACCGACUAAUGUUGAAAAAUUAGCGGAUGACUUGUGGCUGGGGGUGAAAGGCCAAUCAAACCGGGAGAUAGCUGGUUCUCCCCGAAAGCUAUUUAGGUAGCGCCUCGUGAAUUCAUCUCCGGGGGUAGAGCACUGUUUCGGCAAGGGGGUCAUCCCGACUUACCAACCCGAUGCAAACUGCGAAUACCGGAGAAUGUUAUCACGGGAGACACACGGCGGGUGCUAACGUCCGUCGUGAAGAGGGAAACAACCCAGACCGCCAGCUAAGGUCCCAAAGUCAUGGUUAAGUGGGAAACGAUGUGGGAAGGCCCAGACAGCCAGGAUGUUGGCUUAGAAGCAGCCAUCAUUUAAAGAAAGCGUAAUAGCUCACUGGUCGAGUCGGCCUGCGCGGAAGAUGUAACGGGGCUAAACCAUGCACCGAAGCUGCGGCAGCGACACUAUGUGUUGUUGGGUAGGGGAGCGUUCUGUAAGCCUGUGAAGGUGUACUGUGAGGUAUGCUGGAGGUAUCAGAAGUGCGAAUGCUGACAUAAGUAACGAUAAAGCGGGUGAAAAGCCCGCUCGCCGGAAGACCAAGGGUUCCUGUCCAACGUUAAUCGGGGCAGGGUGAGUCGACCCCUAAGGCGAGGCCGAAAGGCGUAGUCGAUGGGAAACAGGUUAAUAUUCCUGUACUUGGUGUUACUGCGAAGGGGGGACGGAGAAGGCUAUGUUGGCCGGGCGACGGUUGUCCCGGUUUAAGCGUGUAGGCUGGUUUUCCAGGCAAAUCCGGAAAAUCAAGGCUGAGGCGUGAUGACGAGGCACUACGGUGCUGAAGCAACAAAUGCCCUGCUUCCAGGAAAAGCCUCUAAGCAUCAGGUAACAUCAAAUCGUACCCCAAACCGACACAGGUGGUCAGGUAGAGAAUACCAAGGCGCUUGAGAGAACUCGGGUGAAGGAACUAGGCAAAAUGGUGCCGUAACUUCGGGAGAAGGCACGCUGAUAUGUAGGUGAAGUCCCUUGCGGAUGGAGCUGAAAUCAGUCGAAGAUACCAGCUGGCUGCAACUGUUUAUUAAAAACACAGCACUGUGCAAACACGAAAGUGGACGUAUACGGUGUGACGCCUGCCCGGUGCCGGAAGGUUAAUUGAUGGGGUUAGCGGUAACGCGAAGCUCUUGAUCGAAGCCCCGGUAAACGGCGGCCGUAACUAUAACGGUCCUAAGGUAGCGAAAUUCCUUGUCGGGUAAGUUCCGACCUGCACGAAUGGCGUAAUGAUGGCCAGGCUGUCUCCACCCGAGACUCAGUGAAAUUGAACUCGCUGUGAAGAUGCAGUGUACCCGCGGCAAGACGGAAAGACCCCGUGAACCUUUACUAUAGCUUGACACUGAACAUUGAGCCUUGAUGUGUAGGAUAGGUGGGAGGCUUUGAAGUGUGGACGCCAGUCUGCAUGGAGCCGGCCUUGAAAUACCACCCUUUAAUGUUUGAUGUUCUAACGUUGGCCCCUGAUCGGGGUUGCGGACAGUGUCUGGUGGGUAGUUUGACUGGGGCGGUCUCCUCCUAAAGAGUAACGGAGGAGCACGAAGGUUGGCUAAUCCUGGUCGGACAUCAGGAGGUUAGUGCAAUGGCAUAAGCCAGCUUGACUGCGAGCGUGACGGCGCGAGCAGGUGCGAAAGCAGGUCAUAGUGAUCCGGUGGUUCUGAAUGGAAGGGCCAUCGCUCAACGGAUAAAAGGUACUCCGGGGAUAACAGGCUGAUACCGCCCAAGAGUUCAUAUCGACGGCGGUGUUUGGCACCUCGAUGUCGGCUCAUCACAUCCUGGGGCUGAAGUAGGUCCCAAGGGUAUGGCUGUUCGCCAUUUAAAGUGGUACGCGAGCUGGGUUUAGAACGUCGUGAGACAGUUCGGUCCCUAUCUGCCGUGGGCGCUGGAGAACUGAGGGGGGCUGCUCCUAGUACGAGAGGACCGGAGUGGACGCAUCACUGGUGUUCGGGUUGUCAUGCCAAUGGCACUGCCCGGUAGCUAAAUGCGGAAGAGAUAAGUGCUGAAAGCAUCUAAGCACGAAACUUGCCCCGAGAUGAGUUCUCCCUGACUCCUUGAGAGUCCUGAAGGAACGUUGAAGACGACGACGUUGAUAGGCCGGGUGUGUAAGCGCAGCGAUGCGUUGAGCUAACCGGUACUAAUGAACCGUGAGGCUUAACCUUACAACGCCGAAGC
rnacentral:rRNA from 1 species